GAACUUUGGUGCAGCCUGGUGCGCAACGUGGGGACUCAGGCGCGCUGGGCGGCGGGAGUUGCUUCCGGUCGUGUUGGUGGUCUGAAUUGAGAGGCCGCGGCUAAGGAAAGAUGGAGACAAUACUGGAGCAGCAGCGGCGCUAUCAUGAGGAGAAGGAACGGCUCAUGGACGUCAUGGCUAAAGAGAUGCUCACUAAGAAGUCCACGCUCCGGGACCAGAUCAAUUCUGAUCACCGCACUCGGGCCAUGCAAGAUAUCUGUGUGCCAAUGUCAGUGGAAUUUGAGGAACUCCUGAAGGCUCGAGAGAAUCCGAGUGAAGAGGCACAAAACUUGGUGGAGUUCACAGAUGAAGAGGGAUAUGGUCGUUAUCUCGAUCUCCAUGACUGUUACCUCAAGUACAUUAACCUGAAGGCAUCUGAGAAGCUGGAUUAUAUCACAUACCUGUCCAUCUUUGACCAAUUAUUUGACAUUCCUAAAGAAAGGAAGAAUGCAGAAUAUAAGAGAUACCUAGAGAUGCUGCUUGAGUACCUUCAGGAUUACACAGAUAGAGUGAAGCCUCUCCAAGAUCAGAAUGAACUUUUUGGGAAGAUUCAGGCUGAGUUUGAGAAGAAAUGGGAGAAUGGGACCUUUCCUGGAUGGCCGAAAGAGACAAGCAGUGCCCUGACCCAUGCUGGAGCCCAUCUUGACCUCUCUGCAUUCUCCUCCUGGGAGGAGUUGGCCUCUCUGGGUUUGGACAGAUUGAAAUCUGCUCUUUUAGCUUUAGGCUUGAAAUGUGGC
rnacentral:sRNA from 1 species